GCACCCAUAGCAUAACUGGAUAAUGCAUUGCCCUCCGAAGGCAAAGACUGUGCGUUCGACUCGCACUGGGUGCGCCA
rnacentral:tRNA from 1 species